AAGACACCACCGAAUCACCAAGAAUCACCGAGACAUCAGAAAAUCAGCAACACACCACCACAUCGAGCACCGAAGAAAGCAAGAUCACCGAAGACCUCCACCCACACUCCACUCAUACUCCAUGAAGACAUCCACCACCUCGGAAGCUCUCUGAGGAAAAAGAUUUAGCCACCAUAUUUAGAAUCACCCACUACCGCUGUAUUACUCCAC
rnacentral:lncRNA from 1 species